rnacentral:lncRNA from 1 species
AAAUUGCAAGCGUAUUCUUUAAUUACAAAAAUGAGGAAAACAUAAGAGUUAAAUGUAGAAAACCAGUUACAAACAAAAAUAAGAAGUAGGAAAAAUAAAGUGUGGCACCAGAAAGAACACUGGAACGCCAAGGUGAGCGUCGCCGCCAUUAUCACAACACGGGACGUACGGAGAUGCCGGCCCACUCCCCCAUGGUGAAGAAGAGGACAAGGGCGGCGUCAACAAGAGGACAGCGACGAAGGGGCGCUAGGACGCAACCGCCCAGGGCAAGGGUGAAACCCCCCCCCCGCUUCGCUUCCUCCUCGGAGGCCUCUUCGGGAGGCUCCGACUCGGACGGCGACCGCAUCCACGAUGCACGCCCAACCGGCAUGGCCAUGGGGGGCGCGGCCGACCAACCCCCACAACUUUCGGCCGCCGACUGGGCAACGCUGCAGACGCUCAUUGCCCAGGCUCGGAGCCCACCCCUCCGUUUCGAGGCGACGGCAGUCUUCGAACCCCGGCGGAGCGGAUGACAUGGACGCCCUCACAAACCGGCCUACACACACAGCCUCCCCCCCUGCACGCCGCCCACAGUCAAGGGCGAGGAGCCACACGACAAGGCGGUGACACAGCUCUUCCUGCACGUCCGAAGGGGCUCGGACUCCCCUCUCCUCUCGUAACCCCCUAGCAACUACAGCCCUGCCACAUAUAGUGGGGCCUAUGUUCGACAAGGAACUGAGCCUGGGGUGCAUAGCGGGCCCCUUCGAGGUCCCCCCAUUUGAGAACUUCAAGUGUUCUCCCAUAGCCCUGCGAGAGAAGUCUACGCCAGGCAAAUACAGGCUCCUGCACAACCUCAGCUACCCCUAUACCUCCGAGAGCGUGAACUCCAACAUCCCGCGGGAGGCGACAACAGUGACCUACCAGUCCAUCAACGAAGCGGUGGCCUUGGUGGGCAGCCGCUCGCCGGGGGCACACCUGGUGAAAUGCGACAUAGCAGAGGCGUUCCGGAUCAUCCCGGUCAACCCCAGCGACUACCACCUACUAGGCUUCGCCUUACGGAGGGCGGUACUACUACGAGAAAAUGCUCAGCAUGGGGGCGGCACCCUCCUGUAGGAUCUUUGAGACGUUCUCCGACACCCCCUGCAUUGGAUCCUCGCGGAGAAGUUCGGCGUGCGGGAUGUCGUGAAGGUGCUGGACGACUUCCUCUUCGUGAGUUCUACCUACAACGAGUGUUUGCGGAGCCUACAGGUGUUCACUGCCCUCUGUGAGCGCCUAGGCGUUCCCCUGGCCCCCCACAAGACUGAGGGCCCCUGCCCCGGUUGCGGGUACUGCCGCCCUCGUUCCUGCGAGACGCAGGACUCACCGAGAAGCCAACUGCAAUCCCGCAGCACCUCCUGCCCUGCAACUUCACCCUGAAACUGUAAGGACGCUGCUCGACUCCCUGCAGCCCGCGAUACGGCGAACGUAUCAACAUAAGUGGGCGGAGUACGUGGCGUAUGUAUCGAACGACAGGAGACGGGAGUGUCCCUUCGAGGCCUCGUCCACGACACUGGUGAACUUCCUGCAGUCGCUGCUGUCUCGAGGUCUGGCUUUCCGCUCUCUCAGCGUCCACCUUGCGGCAAUCGCCUUCAUGUUCAAGCUGCAGGGUAGGGAGGACUCUACUCGCCAGUUCCUAGUCACACAACUACUUAAGGGAGCGCGCAACGAGGCCCAACGGCUCCCCGCACGACGAUUGCCCGUGACCAGACGACUGCUACAUCGACUACUGGGGGCCCUGCGAGGUGUCUGCCGCUCGACUUACGAGAAGACCUGCUAUCGAGCGCUCUUCUCCCUCGCCUUCUACGCCUGCCUCCGGCCAGGGGAGGUGACCUAUACGGGAAAGGAGCAACACACGCUACGCUUGGACCAAUUAACUUUAUCGCGGAUGGGGAUCGACAUCGCGUUUGCCUCCCACAAGCACAGUGCAGGGCGUACCCCCACUUUAACCCUGAGUGCAGACCCUACAGCAAGUACUGCCCGGUCCGUGCCAUGGCGAACUACGUAAGACGAAGGGGCAUGGAACCAGGACCUAUCUUCCUAGGCGAAUCGGGCGCCCCGGUCACCAGACAAGAUUUCCAUGGGUGCUCUGUGCUGCCGUUCGAGCACUAGGCCUGCCUCCAAACGAUUAUGCUCCGCACUCCUUCAGAAUCGGCAGGGCCAUACAGAUGUCCAAGGAUGGCCUGGCGCCGGCAGCAAUCAGAGCAGUCGGCAGGUGGAAAAGUGAUGCGUUCCACUCCUACGUCAGGCAAGACGUCAUUCCAUUACCUAGAUAAGUUACUUCUGCGGCCAGCGGGAACCUCGCCCUUCGGGGGGGGGGGGGUGAGGGACCGGCUUCGCUAGCCUGCGGAGUGGGGGUGCUGCGCCGGAUCCCCAAGUCUAGAGCUGCCCGCAGCUACUUACCAUAUGUCAAGUGCUCACUUGUAGUGCAAGUUGGGGGUUGCAGACUUUACAUGUAAACGAG